AUUUUAGAAUAAGGCUGUAACGUAACACAAUGUGGAGAAAGUACUUUCUGAAGGCACUGUAUGUUUGGUAAAGUAAUAAAGUAGUAAAGUAAUAAAGUAAUAAUGUAAUAAAGAAUGUGAAAUAUUUUGGGUAGAUGUCCUGAAAACAGAUUAUAACUAUAUAUGGACAUAUUAUAAAGUAUGAAAAGGCUUAUUCAUUCCCAACUGUAUGUUAUUUUACCAUAUCAUAAUUMUUGUAUUUGUUUUAGUAUACUUUAACUGUGUACUAGAUCAUAUGGGUUGGAAAAAAAAAAAWUUCUCAGACAUAGAUAAACAUUUCCAGGUGAAAGCUAAAGGUCACAGCUUUCUGGGGGGAACAACACUACAUCAUUCAAAUAUUGCCCUCUUGCUAGAUGAAUGACUAAAGCCAUAGCGAAACAGUACAAAACGGCUGUCAGGUCAACUGGCUUUAAGACAAUUAAUAACAACAAAAAACAAGGUCCACAUAAAUAAUCAUCUUUACAGUGUAGUGCUCCAUACAUGCUAGUGCACUGUGCAACAUGUUGCAUUACAAUCCAUUAGGUAGAAGUGGUUGUUCUUCUCUGUACUCUUCAGGUUGAUGAGGGGAGAGAGGUCAGUUGAACCUCUUCCUUCAGGUUGAUGAGAGAGAUCAGUUGAACCUCUUCCUUCAGGUUGAUGAGGGGAGAGAGGUCAGUUGAACCUCUUCCUCCAGGUUAUGAGAGGAGAUAGGUCAGUUGAACCUCUUCUUCAGGUUGAUGAGAAGAGAGGGGUCAGUUUGAACCUCUCCUUCAGGUUGAUGAGGGGAGGAGGUCAGUUGAACCUCUUCUUUCAGGUUGAUUUAGGGG